GGGUGUAGUUCAAUGGUAGAACUUCAGCCUUCCAAGCUGAUAGCGUGGGUUCGAUUCCCAUCACCCGCUCC
rnacentral:tRNA from 1 species